GUCCAGGGGCGGGAAUCGAACCCACACCCUUCUGCUUACCCGGGCAGGUGGCCUUGUCCACUCGGCUACCCUGGA